rfam:Gossypium raimondii Chr01_contig_682, whole genome shotgun sequence.
UGUUAAAAAUUUCAUCCAUUUUUAUUGUUGAAAAUCGAUGUGGUUGAUAAAAUGACUAAACAGUUAUACGUGACAUGUCAUGUGUACUUUAUUUUGAUUUACAGUGACCAGUCUUUAACAGCAGAAAUAGAUAAAAUUUUAAAUA